rnacentral:rRNA from 1 species
GGCUCAGAACGAACGCUGGCGGCAGGCUUAACACAUGCAAGUCGAGCGCGUAGCAAUACGAGCGGCAGACGGGUGAGUAACGCGUGGGAAUCUACCGUACCCUACGGAAUAGCUCCGGGAAACUGGAAGUAAUACCGUAUACGCCCGAAAGGGGAAAGAUUUAUCGGGGUAUGAUGAGCCCGCGUUGGAUUAGCUAGUUGGUGGGGUAAAGGCCUACCAAGGCGACGAUCCAUAGCUGGUCUGAGAGGAUGAUCAGCCACAUUGGGACUGAGACACGGCCCAAACUCCUACGGGAGGCAGCAGUGGGGAAUAUUGGACAAUGGGGGCAACCCUGAUCCAGCCAUGCCGCGUGAGUGAUGAAGGUCUUAGGAUUGUAAAGCUCUUUCACCGAUGAAGA